CAGCCCCUCGAGUGGUGGGGAUGAUUAUUUGGCCUAAAGCGUCCGUAGCCGGCCGAGCAAGUCUUCUGUUAAAUCCAGCGUCUCAAGCGUUGGACCGCGGGAGAUACUACACGGCUAGAGAGUGGGAGAGGUCAGCGGUAUUCUGGGGGUAGGGGCGAAAUCCUUUGAUCCCCGGAGGACCACCAGUGGCGAAGGCUGCUGACUAGAACACGUCUGACGGUCAGGGACGAAAGCUGGGGUAGCGAACCGGAUUAGAUACCCGAGUAGUCC
rnacentral:rRNA from 1 species